rnacentral:rRNA from 1 species
UACAGAGGUCCCAAGCGUUGUUCGGAUUCACUGGGCGUAAAGGGUGCGUAGGUGGUGAGGUAAGUCGGAUGUGAAAUCUCGGAGCUCAACUCCGAAAUGGCAUUGGAAACUACCUCGCUAGAGGAUCGGAGGGGAGACUGGAAUUCUCGGUGUAGCAGUGAAAUGCGUAGAUAUCGAGAGGAACACCAGUGGCGAAGGCGAGUCUCUGGACGACUCCUGACACUGAGGCACGAAAGCUGGGGGAGCAAACAGG